AUAUGCAUCGGUCAACCGGUGGUAUAUAUUAAAAAGUUUGCACCCUGACUCAGGUCCUGAUCCGCCACUGAGCAGAACCUCUUCUCUCAAAAUCGCUUUUCAAUAAGCAUAAUCGACUCAAAAUUAUCUCAAUCUUCUUCCUCACAAUCGCAUCUCUCAAAAUCGCUUCCUGCUUCAUCUGAAUUAUCGAGGUUCCUAAUUCACAUAAAUCACUUCCUCACAUCAUCGUUUCCUCACAGCCGACUCAACGCACAAUUGAAUCGCUAAUUCAGUGGUUCUCUGAUUGAUUUGCAAUCGAUUUCGCUUCUUCGCCACGAUUCUUCAAUCUUAGCUACUUCGUUUUCGCUAAUCUACACUGUCGAUCUAAGGGAAUGUGUUUGAUAAAAGUACUCCCUUAAUAUUUUGUAAGUUUCAUAUUUAAUAGUAUCAACUUUGUUGGUUGAGGUUCUCUGUUCUAUAUACUCUCUCUGAAAUUUCUUCUAUUUGGAGUUUCAAGUUGAAUGAAUAGUGAUUUAGCGUGUAAAGGAAUGGGGGGAAGGGGGAAUGUAAGUAUAGCAUAGGAGGAUGGUGGCGGAGAAAGUGUUCCAGGGAGAGAUGUACUCGGUGAUUCGUCAAACACAUUGAGCUAAAAGGUUGGUGCGGACGAUAAGGCUGUUCUGGAUCAAAUCAUUGAUUCUUUAACCUCUCUUGUUAAUCCAACUGAAAAUAAAAGAUUUUCAAAUCAAAAUUCAAGUAAAAUUUCACUUAAGCUUGGUAAAGUUCAAGAGAACAGUAUUGAGAAGGAAUCUGAUUCAAAAAAGAAAGCCGCAGUUUUUAUUCUUGGUGCUGGUCGAGUCUUUCAGCCAGCUGCCGAAAUGAUAUCAUCAUUUGGAACAAGCCAGUGGUAUAAAACAUUGUUGGAAGAUGAUUUUGAAGAUCAAAUUGAUAUUGAUGUCAUUGUGGGAUCGUUGUAACUGAAGGAUGCGGUACAGUUGUUUAGGGCAUUCCAAAUGUAACUGGAAUUCAGCUUGAUGUGACGGAUAGUGCCAAUCUUUUUAAGCGCGUUUCACAGGUGGAUGCUAUUAUAUAAGUUUGUUGCCCCCUAGUUGUCACAUUAUUGUAGUAAAUGCUUGCAUUAAGGUGCUUUGUAUUUUAUGAUUUUUCAAUAUUGAACUAAAGAUGCUGGUAUAACAAUUCUUGGUGAGAUGGGCUAAAGAUGUUUAUAGGAACAUGCUUGGAUUAGUAGAGCAUCAAGAUGGCGAAAUUCAGUUGGUAGCAAACUCUGUUUUACUAGAGUUUGUAGCUACAUUGGCGAAAUUCAACAAAUGAGCCAAUGUAGUUGGCCAAUGCUUUUCCAACCUUCUCCGCCAUAAGUCCCACCGGAAGGUUAUGCACUUGUACCCAAAAAUCAACAUGGUACCACAAAAUGUUCUCCUAAUUGGAUUCUUUCCACGAUAAUUAAGCAUGUUAUUAUCAAA